CUCCGAUCUGGUAGACGGCCUCACCGCGGCCCUCCUGCAGACGCCACUUCAGCUGUGUGGCCAGAUGCUCGAAGCGAUACUGGGUGGGAUUAACCAGCUUCAACUACGACAACAGCAGAAAGAGAUACAUGAUGGAAAUGGUUUUCCCAGUUUGGUGUGGAAGAAUCUGACUGGUCUGCACAGAGCCCUGAACUCAACCCCCAUCCAACACCUUCAGGAUGUCCUUCAGUACAUUGUUGCUAAAUUAGACGAGGAAGUUGAAACUCCUCCCUCUGAUCUGAGCUGUUAGUCUCAUCUCUGGUGGCCACAAGAGGGAAACACAUCUGACUCAAUUUAGAGAAGAAGACUCCAUUUUCAAAAUAAAACGCUUUCCUAAGCAGUUUGGUCUUCAGCGCUGAUGAAAUGCCACAUCGAAAGCCAGUAUUACAUUAAUGAUCAUCAUAGCAGUUAGUGUUGCAACCAAAGGUUAUUGUCACUAUCAGAAUCAGCUUUAUUGACCGAGUAUGUGUAGCCUAUGCUCACAAGAAAUUUGACUGUGAUUUCUUUUGGUUCUCAAUGUACACAAAGACACUUAUCAUUAAUUAAUCUGCAUGAUUAUUUUCUCAAUUAAGUGAUGAAUCAUUUGGUCCAUCAAACAUCAGAAACAGUGAAUAAUGUCCUUUACAAUUUCCUCGAGUGCAAGUUGACGUCUCCAAAUGUCUUUUUUUGUUCAAUCACCAGUAAAAAUCCCCCAAAUAUUCUGUUUACAAUGAAAACGAAUAAAGCAGCAACUUUUUACACUGGAGAAGUUGAAGGUUUUUGCUCUUUUGAUUAAAAAAUUAUUCAAAUAA